rnacentral:rRNA from 1 species
GAUGAACGCUGGCGGCGUGCUUAACACAUGCAAGUCGAACGGAAAGGCCCAAGCUUGCUUGGGUGCUCGAGUGGCGAACGGGUGAGUAACACGUGGGUGAUCUGCCCUGCACUUUGGGAUAAGCCUGGGAAACUGGGUCUAAUACCGGAUAGGACCAUCGUUUAGUGUCGGUGGUGGAAAGAUUUUCGGGGUGGGAUGAGCUAGCGGCCUAUCAGCUUGUUGGUGGGGUAAUGGCCUACCAAGGCGUCGGCGGGGAGUCGGCCUUGGAGGGUGGACGGCCCCCUUGGGACUGAGGGACGGCCCAGGCUCCUACGGGAGGCAGCAGGUGGGAAUAUUGCCCAAUGGGCGCGAGCCUGGUGCAGCGACGCCGCGGGGGGGAAGACGGCCUUCGGGUUGGAAACUCCUUUCGCCAAGGACGAAGCGUUUUGUGACGGUACUUGGAGAAGAAGCACCGGCUAACUACGUG